CAGACACAUACACAAACACACACAUACAGUCAGACACAAACACACACACACACACAGAUACAAACACACACACACAGUCAGACACACACACACAUACAGUCAGACACAAACACACACAGUCAGACACAAACACACACAGUCAGACACAAACACACAGACAAACACACACACACACAGUCAGACACAUACACAGACACACACACACAC